rnacentral:rRNA from 1 species
CCUACGGGGUGCAGCAGUGAGGAAUAUUGGUCAAUGGACGCAAGUCUGAACCAGCCAUGCCGCGUGCAGGAAGACGGCUCUAUGAGUUGUAAACUGCUUUUGUACGAGGGUAAACGCAGAUACGCGUAUCUGUCUGAAAGUAUCGUACGAAUAAGGAUCGGCUAACUCCGUGCCAGCAGCCGCGGUAAUACGGAGGAUUCAAGUGUUAUCCGGAUUUAUUGGGUUUAAAGGGUGCGUAGGCGGUCGGAUAAGUUAGAGGUGAAAUCCCGAGGCUCAACGUCGGAAUUGCCUCUGAUACUGUCAGGCUAGAGAGUAGUAGCGGUAGGCGGAAUGUGUGGUGUAGCGGUGAAAUGCUUAGAGAUCAUACAGAACACCGAUUGCGAAGGCAGCUUACCAGGCUACUUCUGACGUUGAGGCACGAAAGCGUGGGGAGCAAACAGGAUUAGAUACCCGGGUAGUC